CCUACGGGAGGCAGCAGUGGGGGAUAUUGCACAGUGGGGGGAACCCUGAUGCAGCGACGCCGCGUGGGUGAAGAAGCGCCUCGGCGCGUAAAGCCCUGUCAGCAGGGAAGAAAAUGACGGUACCUGAAGAAGAAGCCCCGGCUAACUAAGUGCCAGAGGCCGCGGUAAUACGUAGGGGGCAAGCGUUAUCGGGAUUUACUGGGUGUAAGGGGGGCGCAGACGGCGAUGCAAGCCAGGAGUGAAAGCCCGGGGCCCAACCCCGGGACUGCUCUUGGAACUGCGUGGCUGGAGUGCAGGAGGGGCAGGCGGAAUUCCUGGUGUAGCGGUGAAAUGCGUAGAUAUCAGGAGGAACACCGGUGGCGAAGGCGGCCUGCUGGACUGCAACUGACGUUGAGGCCCGAAAGCGUGGGGAGCAAACAGGAUUAGAUACCCUGGUAGUC
rnacentral:rRNA from 1 species